GACGAACCGUGCGAACGUUGUUCGGAAUCACUGGGCUUAAAGGGCGCGUAGGCGGACUGCCAAGUCCGGGGUGAAAUCCUCCGGCUUAACCGGAGAAUUGCCUGGGAUACUGGCGGUCUUGAGGGAGGUAGGGGCACGCGGAACUUCCGGUGGAGCGGUGAAAUGCGUUGAUAUCGGAAGGAACGCCGGUGGCGAAAGCGGCGUGCUGGCCCUCUUUUGACGCUGAGGCGCGAAAGCCAGGGGAGCGAACGGG
rnacentral:rRNA from 1 species